rnacentral:rRNA from 1 species
CCUACGGGGGGCAGCAGUAGGGAAUCUUUCACAAUGGGCGAAAGCCUGAUGGAGCAACGCCGCGUGCAGGAUGAAGGCCUUCGGGUUGUAAACUGCUUUUAUAAGCGAGAAAUAUGAUGGUAACUUAUGAAUAAGGAUCGGCUAACUACGUGCCAGCAGCCGCGGUCAUACGUAGGAUCCGAGCAUUAUCCGGAGUGACUGGGUGUAAAGAGUUGCGUAGGUGGCAUAAUAAGUAGCUAGUGAAGUCUGGUGGCUCAACCAUUCAGACUAUUAGCUAAACUGUUAAGCUCGAGACCGUUAGGGGUAACUGGAAUUUCUAGUGUAGGAGUGAAAUCCGUAGAUAUUAGAAGGAACACCAAUAGCGUAGGCAGGUUGCUGGGACGGUUCUGACACUAAGGCACGAAAGCGUAGGGAGCAAACGGGAUUAGAUACCCCAGUAGUC